AAUUAUGAAAUUACAUUAACAGUAAGUAUUUCACUGUAAGGUCUACACCUGUUGUAUUUCACUGUAAGGUCUACACCUGUUGUAUUUCACUGUAAGGUCUACACCUGAUGUAUUUCACUGUAAGGUCUACACCUGAUGUAUUUCACUGUAAGGUCUACACCUGAUGUAUUUCACUGUAAGGUCUACACCUGUUGUAUUUCACUGUAAGGUCUACACCUGUUGUAUUUCACUGUAAGGUCUACACCUGAUGUAUUUCACUGUAAGGUCUACACCUGUUGUAUUUCACUGUAAGGUCUACACCUGUUGUAUUCAGCGCACUAAUAACAUUUGAUUUUAAUGUUUUAAUCUGAUUACUUCAAAAGUCUCCUGUA
ensembl:lncRNA